UGUAAUUUUAGUUAAAUUUUUUUCCUUGAAGUCCAAUGUCAGUCAAGGACAAGGUCGUUGAUUGGUACACAUGACCGUUUUCGACCACCAAUUAUAGACCACAAAUGUAAUUUUGUUAACUGGUUUUGAAAAUGUGGUUGGUCAUAUUUAAUGCACUUGCUGUACAUAUUGCGUUCUGUUUCUCAGUGAUCUUUCCUCUCUCAGGUCACUGAUCAUGCAACCACAGCGCUCCUGCAUUACCAGCUCCCCCAGAUGCCUGAUGUUGUAGUUCGCUCAUUCAUGACCUGGUUGAGGAGCUACAUCAAGCUCUUCCAGACCCCGUGUCAACGCUGUGGCAAGUACCUGCAGGAGGGCCUUCCUCCAACAUGGAGGGACUUCCGAACUCUGGAGGCUUUCCAUGACACCUGCAGGCAGUGACGCUGUCCUGGGUCACACAGUACUUCAAUGGCUUGGCUUGGAGAACUCCAAGAUUCGGUUUCUAGCUCUGUGUUGUGGACAGUUCGUCAUGAAGACAAUUUCCAGCCUAUUGAUUUCCACAGCUUUGCUCCAUCCACUUCUGGAAGAAUAUUAUUCACCAGAUAGAUACCAUAUAAUGAUUUAUUACAUUUAAAAGAGAAAAUGUAAAAUGCUGAUGGAUUUUAGAAUGUAAAUAGCUAGAAGUUUAUUCCACAAAUAGGUCGUAAUAAUUAACGUUGUAGUUGGGACCUCAGGUUGGAUGAAAAUUGUCCAUUUUUGACAUUUAAAUAAACUGCCUUUGCUUUUCUUUUUCCACA